rnacentral:rRNA from 1 species
CCCUUAGAUGUUCUGGGCCGCACGCGUGCUACACUGAGUGGAUCAGCGGGUCAGGUUGCGCGAAAGUGUUUCCUAAUCUUGAAAUCCGCUCGUGAUGGGGAUUGACGGUUGCAAUUUUCUGUCAUGAACGAGGAAUACCUUGUAAGCGCGGGUCAUCAUCCCGCGCUGAAUACGUCCCUGCCCUUUGUACACACCGCCCGUCGCUCCUACCGAUUGAGCGAUCCGGUGAAUGUUUUGGACUGGCGUCAGAAGCGGUUCGCUCCUGACACUACGAAAUUUUGUAAACCUUAUCGCUUAGAGGAAGGAAAAGUCGUAACA